rnacentral:rRNA from 1 species
AGUGGCGGACGGGUGAGUAACGCGUGGAUAACCUGCCGUAUACCGGGGGAUAACACUUGGAAAUAGGUGCUAAUACCGCAUAAGCGCACGGCUCCGCAUGGGGCAGUGUGAAAAACUCCGGUGGUAUACGAUGGAUCCGCGUCUGAUUAGCUAGUUGGCGGGGUAACGGCCCACCAAGGCAGCGAUCAGUAGCCGGCCUGAGAGGGUGGACGGCCACAUUGGGACUGAGACACGGCCCAAACUCCUACGGGAGGCAGCAGUGGGGAAUAUUGCACAAUGGGGGAAACCCUGAUGCAGCGACGCCGCGUGAGUGAAGAAGUAUCUCGGUACGUAAAGCUCUAUCAGCAGGGAAGAAAAUGACGGUACCUGACUAAGAAGCCCCGGCUAACUACGUGCCAGCAGCCGCGGUAAUACGUAGGGGGCAAGCGUUAUCCGGAUUUACUGGGUGUAAAGGGAGCGUAGACGGCAGCACAAGUCUGGAGUGAAAUCCCGGGGCUUAACCCCGGAACUGCUUUGGAAACUGUGCGGCUGGAGUGCAGGAGGGGUAAGCGGAACUCCUAGUGUAGCGGUGAAAUGCGUAGAUAUUAGGAGGAACACCGGUGGCGAAGGCGGCUUACUGGACUGUAACUGACGUUGAGGCUCGAAAGCGUGGGGAGCAAACAGGAUUAGAUACCCUGGUAGUCCACGCCGUAAACGAUGAUUACUAGGUGUCGGGGGAUCAAGGUCCUCCGGUGCCGGCGCAAACGCAUUAAGUAAUCCACCUGGGGAGUAC